CCUUGGAUGAAUUAGCAAGCAAGAAGAGUCAGUCUGAGGCUCCUCACUGUGACGGACUGAGGAGCUUUAUUUACUCCCUGCGGAUAGUGGCCUGCCACCAGAGAGGCCACAGGCCGGAGUGAUGGAGCUGACUCAUAGGGUAAGGAGAAAGUGGCCUGGAUCGUUGACAGAGGUGGCGUAUAUUUGAGCAUGGAUCUAAAUGAGGUGAAGGAUUGAGAUGGCUGCUUGGGGAAGAACUUUCCAGGCAUGAAUGAAUGCCUGAAUUGAGCAUCUCCACUUCCUGAUAUGAGAGAAGAGACGUAACAAAGAUUCCUCCAGAACCAAAAGGAUCCGAGAUAAGGCUAACUUGAUUAACGUGCUUAAUGUGAAUGCCACACCUUGGGUUUCCCAGGAAGAAGACUCUCAGAUGAAGACCAGUGUUUAGGAAGCUUAUUAGGAAUGCUUGCGGGAUCAACACCUGCUGGGGAAGAAAGGCAGCAAGAUUGGGCAGAGGACAGAGUUGGGCUAUGGUGCAGUCUCAGUGGAGGUUUCCAUCGGCCAUCGGGAGUUCUGAAGCUGGGCUGGCCCUUCGGGGUGGUCCCAAGUUGGGGGCUGGAUCUUUAUGCCUCGCCUUAGUCCAUCAUUAGAUGUUGG
rnacentral:lncRNA from 1 species